rnacentral:rRNA from 1 species
UUAUCCUACGGGAGGCAGCAGUUAGGAAUAUUCGUCAAUGGGGGAAACCCUGAACGAGCAAUGCCGCGUGAGGGAAGAAGGCCCUGCGGGUCGCAGACCUCUUUGGACGGGGAGCAAGGCCGCCGACGUGUCGGCGGAAGGAGAGUACCCGUAGAACAAGCAUCGGCUAACUCCGUGCCAGCAGCCGCGGUAAUACGGAGGAUGCGAGCGUUAUCCGGAUUUAUUGGGUU